rnacentral:rRNA from 1 species
UGGGGAAUAUUGGACAAUGGGGGGAACCCUGAUCCAGCCAUGCCGCGUGUGUGAAGAAGGCCUUAUGGUUGUAAAGCACUUUAAGCGAGGAGGAGGGUACUGGUAUUAAUACUACCAGCUACUGGACGUUACUCGCAGAAUAAGCACCGGCUAACUCUGUGCCAGCAGCCGCGGUAAUACAGAGGGUGCGAGCGUUAAUCGGAUUUACUGGGCGUAAAGCGUGCGUAGGCGGCUAAUUGAGUCGGAUGUGAAAUCCCCGAGCUUAACUUGGGAAUUGCAUUCGAUACUGGUUAGAUAGAGUGUGGGAGAGGAUGGUAGAAUUCCAGGUGUAGCGGUGAAAUGCGUAGAGAUCUGGAGGAAUACCGAUGGCGAAGGCAGCCAUCUGGCAUAACACUGACGCUGAGGUACGAAAGCAUGGGGAGCAAACAGG